rnacentral:lncRNA from 1 species
ACUUGUUAGAAAUUAAUAACACCUAAUAAAUCUUUUUUUAAAUUCUAUCCAUUAAUUUUUAACAACUGAUCAUUCAUAAGCUGCCACAUCUACAAGACAACAUGAGUUUCUGCUGCCCCUUAUUACUGCAGGAUAUUCUAAUUCAGAUUAUUGAGCUGAAUCCUUCCUAAGAGUGUCAAGUUGUCAACUACUUGGGCACUUAAUGUCCAUGAUCAAUGGAUAAGGUGGGAAGAAGUGGCUAAACUUCUUUUUCAGAUACGAGAAUUGCAUUAAGAAGGGACCCCAUUAACUUCACAACACACGAAAUAUGUUUCGCCAGAUCCAAAUCUCUAGCCUUUCUAGCUAGUCCAUUGGACA